ensembl:miRNA Gm23785 predicted gene, 23785
CAUGCUUUUCUCCAUUGUGUGUUUAUGGUUAUGUGUGCAUAUUACUAUAUGCACACACACACACACACACACACACACACACACACACACACACACACAC